ACGGCUGUCUCCUCUGCCGCAGCGCAGCGCACACAUUGUCCCCACAUGAGGCGCUGAACCAGCAGCCAGGAAGCGAGUGUGAUGGAGAGGUUGCCCAAAUGGUGAAACAUAACCUCCUUUUGGGCUCAAUGGAUGGCAGAUCACAGGCCCUCGAGAUCUAAAAGAGACAAUUAUCCUCAAUUGAAGGCCGACGGUCCAAGGGACGCUUCCAUCGUUUAAUUGGACGGGAGGUUCAUUGACAUCACAAGAGGUGAAAGGUAGCUCCUUCCUGGUCAUCAGUCUUGGCCCCCCGAGCUGACGGGAGUCUGCGCCUUUCUCAGAAAACGUUUGCUCAGACGCAGACUGUCUCCUCACCUCGACAAGAGGGCCGGCGUGAUGUUUUCAGCCGAACGCGCAAAGCGACACGUGUAUCAUUCAGACCGACGUGAGGCCAUCGACAUUUAAAAGCUUAUAUCAGCGCCAGUUUGAGACACUUCAUGGCCAACACACUCUUCCAACGCGUGCUGCAAUUGACACGAUUCCUGGCGAGGUUCUCCAACCAGGACCUGUUCUCGACAUGGACGUGCAGCGGAGGGCCUGCUACUGCCACCACCGAUGAGAACACGGGGCAAAGUCAGCAAAGCGCACCAUUUGAGUGAUCCGAGGCUCGGUCCAGACCCGGUCUACUGGUCGGACAGCUGCUGGAAGUCUUUCCGUCAUCGCGUCAGCCUCGCCGAGGAGCUCUCGACCUCCACCUAAACCCGCGUUGUAGCCCCCUCAGAGACUGGCGUUGACACCAUCCUGUUGACUGCUGAACGAGCCACCACUGCUGUUAGGAUCCAACCAAGAGAAGAUACCGUGUUGUUGCAGAAGCACUGAAGUGGCGUUGCACCAAAGUCCAGCUUUCUGUGGAGACCUGUGUUGCACAGUGAUAUGCAUGAGAGGCAAGAGUCCAGUCUGGACCUGCAUUUGAUUCCCGUUACAGCGUAACAAGUGGCUGGCCCGCCUCGGAAGAUGAAGUUUGAUUCCCGCGGAAAGGUCAUCCGAGCCCAGCGAGACUCCUGGUUGAAGUUUAAACAGGCCACGCUGUCUUCCUGCUCUCCAGAACAUACUGGCUUCGUAGCAACCCCCAGCGCCAUGGCAACGGCUGCCUAUGUCAUCGCAGAGGGAGCGACUACUCGGUGAGUGAGAGUGUGCUGUGUUUCCUAUUCAUCCAAUGUCCUGCUCGCUUUAUUUAUUCUCCCUUCUACAGUAAUUAAGGAUUAAAAUUCAUAAGGUACCCAACACAGGACUGACAUCGAAAUCAAGUUUAUUUUUACACUGCGUUUACUCAAAAGACUGGACCAGUUGUAGAGCAAAGGGACCAUAAUGGCGCAUAUUGUGUGCAUUUGUUCCAGUUCCAGAAGAGCAUUUCUGCUAUCGCACAUUCAGAUCAGAAUUCACCCGCAAUCCUGUUAGGCCUUCAACAAUGUCUCAAGACUCCAGAAAAUGAGCCCAAAAAAAAGUCAUGAAGUGUGGAAUGUUUAAAAAUGAUUGUUUCUUAAGAACAACUUUUACGCCUAUCCAAAGCUGUUCAGGUGUCAAAAGGGUCAGAUGAGCCCACGUUCAGAAUCAGAUUCCCUCCCAGCCCUUAAGGGGGUG